AUUGAACGCUGGCGGCAGGCCUAACACAUGCAAGUCGAACGAGUGGCGGACGGGUGAGUAAUGUCUGGGAAACUGCCCGAUGGAGCGGGAUAACUACUGGAAACGGUAGCUAAUACCGCAUACCAUCGGAUGUGCCCAUAUGGGAUUAGCUAGUAGGUGGGGUAAAGGCUCACCUAGGCGACGAUCCCUAGCUGGUCUGAGAGGAUGAGCAGCCCAACGGGAACGGAGACACGGCACGGACUCCAACGGGAAGGAGCAGUGGGGAAUAUUGCACAAUGGGCGGAAGCCUGAUGCAGCCAUGGCGCGUGUAUGAAGAAGGCCUGCGGGUUGUAAAGUAAUUUCAGCGGGGAGGCGUUACUCGCAGAAGAAGCACCGGCUAACUCCGUGCCAGCAGCCGCGGUAAUUC
rnacentral:rRNA from 1 species